rnacentral:rRNA from 1 species
GAUGAACGCUAGCGGCAGGCUUAAUACAUGCAAGUCGAACGGUAACAGGUCCAGCAAUGGAUGCUGACGAGUGGCGCACGGGUGCGUAACACGUAUGCAACCUACCUUUAACUAAGGAAUAGCCCCGAGAAAUCGGGAUUAAUACUUUAUACCAUUAUGAAAUGGCAUCAUUAUAUAAUGAAAGCUUCGGCGGUUAAAGAUGGGCAUGCGCGACAUUAGCUAGUUGGUAAGGUAACGGCUUACCAAGGCUAUGAUGUCUAGGGGUUCUGAGAGGAUUUACCCCCACACUGGUACUGAGAUACGGACCAGACUCCUACGGGAGGCAGCAGUAAGGAAUAUUGGCCAAUGGGCGGAAGCCUGAACCAGCCAUGCCGCGUGCAGGAAGACGGCCCUAUGGGUUGUAAACUGCUUUUGUCAGGGAAUAAACCUGCCUACGUGUAGGCAGCUGAAGGUACCUGAAGAAUAAGCAUCGGCUAACUCCGUGCCAGCAGCCGCGGUAAUACGGAGGAUGCAAGCGUUAUCCGGAUUCAUUGGGUUUAAAGGGUGCGCAGGCGGAUUAUUAAGUCAGGGGUGAAAUCUCUCGGCUCAACCGAGAAACUGCCUUUGAUACUGAUAGUCUAGAGUAUAGUUGAAGUUGGCGGAAUGUGUCAUGUAGCGGUGAAAUGCUUAGAUAUGACACAGAACACCGAUCGCGAAGGCAGCUAGCUAAGCUAUAACUGACGCUCAUGCACGAAAGCGUGGGGAUCAAACAGGAUUUGAUACCCUGGUAGUCCACGCUGUAAACGAUGAUUACUCGAUGUUGGCGAUACACAGUCAGCGUCUGAGCGAAAGCAAUAAGUAAUCCACCUGGGGAGUACGAUCGCAAGAUUG